rnacentral:rRNA from 1 species
CUACGGGUCGCACCAGUGAGGAAUAUUGCACAAUGGGGGGAACCCUGAUGCAGCAACGCCGCGUGGAGGAUGACGCAUUUCGGUGUGUAAACUCCUUUUAUAUGUCAAGAAAAUGACGGUAGCAUAUGAAUAAGCACCGGCUAACUCCGUGGCCAGCAGCCGCGGUAAUACGGAGGGUGCAGGCGUUACUCGGAAUCACUGGGCGUAAAGGACGCGUAGGCGGGUUGGAAAGUCAGGUGUGAAAUCCUACAGCUUAACUGUAGAACUGCACUUGAAACUUCUAAUCUAGAGUAUGGGAGGGGAGAUGGAAUUAGUGGUGUAGGGGUAAAAUCCGUAGAUAUCACGAGGAAUACCUAAAGCGAAGGCGAUCUCCUGGAACAUUACUGACGCUAAGGCGUGAAAGCGUGGGGAGCAAACAGGAUUAGAUACCCCUGUAGUC